AGCGGGGAGCGAUCCCCCCCCCCAGCCCGGCUUUGACCGUGGUGUCAGGGGGAGGGAGAGGUCAGAGGCGUGAGAUGGGCCCUAGAGUUUGCAUCGCUCAGCUUCCCAGGGAUGGGACCAGAGCAGAUCCGCUGUGCUCUGUGCUGGGCCCAGGAUGUGUGUGCACCCGGUGGACCUGAGCCCACCCCAGCCUGCAGCCACGCCUGGCGAAGCCCAGCCCACUCAGCUGGCCACAGUGGGCCCCGCCCCUGGGGGCCUGAGAACAGUGCUUAUCGCCAGCCCCUGAGUCGGACAGGCUACAUCUGACAACACGCGGGGCUUUCAGAUUCUGCUCUGCAGAACCUGAGGGCAGUAGUGUGUGUGUGUGUGUGUGUGUGUGUGUGUGUGUGUGUGUUAAUUCCUGUCCUCAAACCCAUUCAUUCAUGCAUUUAUUUAUUAAUUCACUUAUUUAUUCACCUCAUCUACUUGAGCCCUUAGAUGUUCAGGGCCAUCCUGGGUGUGGAGGAUCUGGAAUUUAAUGAGGCAGCCCUGGGCCCUCCCUCCGUGGUCAGGUCAUUUUGGUUGAGGAGGCUGCCAAGAGACAGGUAAAUGAACACACAAAGGAGAGACACACAGGUUGGGUGUGUUGUGAUUGAGAUGAAACAAGAAAGUGAUUAGAGUAGGGUGGGUGGUCACUUCAAAGUGGUGGUCAAGGAGGGCCUCUCUAAAAAGGGGACACUUAAGAUGAGCCCCCAAAAAGAAACAGCCAAAGGAAUUGCCCUAAGAAGUAGGGACAGCAGGUGCAAAGGCCCUGUGGCACGGGAAGGCCUGGUUAAGUCCAUGGCAGAAAGGAGGCUGGUCUGGCCUCCUUUCC
rnacentral:lncRNA from 1 species